GCGUAGGCGGUCUUUCAAGUCAGGAGUGAAAGGCUACGGCACGACAGUAGUAAGCACAUGAAACUGGGGGGCUGGAGUGCAGGAGAGGGGAGUGGAAUUCCGGAUGUAGCGGUGAACGGCGUAGAUAAUGGGAGGAACCCCAGUGACGAAGGAGGCUCUCUGGACUGUAACAGACGCUGAGGCACGAAAGCGUGGGGCGCAAACAGGAUUAGAUAC
rnacentral:rRNA from 1 species